GAAAAAAAGCGGAGGCCCGAAAAACAGGUGGGGGUCCUCCAACAUCACCACUCACAGAGGCUGAGCAGUUGGCCCUCAGCCAAAACAGUGGGCGCCCUGUGGCUGAAGGCAUCUCUGCGGGGACAUCCUCUGAGUCAAUAACCCCGCAAGACACAAGUGCCUACAUAAGAGUUGAUGGUGAUGGUGUACUGCAUCUGGUGCAGCCUCCUGUUGAGCCAGACCAACAUGCAGUUGAAAAUAAUGAAGAAACAUUGACAGCUGUUACAGAGGAGGAAGCAACAGAGACACUUUAUGAGAGUGAUGAUGGAAAUGCAGAGGAAGAGGGUCCAGCCACUUCUCCAACAAACCUUUCCUCACUCCCUGUAAAGCAGCUGUACAAGACCUAUUUGAUCAAGAAAAUAAAAAAA
ensembl:lncRNA